UACGGGGGGGGUAAGCGUUGUUCGGAAUUACUGGGCGUAAAGGGCUCGUAGGCGGCCAACUAAGUCAGACGUGAAAUCCCUCGGCUUAACCGGGGAACUGCGUCUGAUACUGGAUGGCUUGAGUUUGGGAGAGGGAUGCGGAAUUCCAGGUGUAGCGGUGAAAUGCGUAGAUAUCUGGAGGAACACCGGUGGCGAAGGCGGCAUCCUGGACCAACACUGACGCUGAGGAGCGAAAGCCAGGGGAGCGAACGGG
rnacentral:rRNA from 1 species